rnacentral:rRNA from 1 species
GUCGAACGAACUCUGGUAUUGAUUGGUGCUUGCAUCAUGAUUUACAUUUGAGUGAGUGGCGAACUGGUGAGUAACACGUGGGAAACCUGCCCAGAAGCGGGGGAUAACACCUGGAAACAGAUGCUAAUACCGCAUAACAACUUGGACCGCAUGGUCCGAGUUUGAAAGAUGGCUUCGGCUAUCACUUUUGGAUGGUCCCGCGGCGUAUUAGCUAGAUGGUGGGGUAACGGCUCACCAUGGCAAUGAUACGUAGCCGACCUGAGAGGGUAAUCGGCCACAUUGGGACUGAGACACGGCCCAAACUCCUACGGGAGGCAGCAGUAGGGAAUCUUCCACAAUGGACGAAAGUCUGAUGGAGCAACGCCGCGUGAGUGAAGAAGGGUUUCGGCUCGUAAAACUCUGUUGUUAAAGAAGAACAUAUCUGAGAGUAACUGUUCAGGUAUUGACGGUAUUUAACCAGAAAGCCACGGCUAACUACGUGCCAGCAGCCGCGGUAAUACGUAGGUGGCAAGCGUUGUCCGGAUUUAUUGGGCGUAAAGCGAGCGCAGGCGGUUUUUUAAGUCUGAUGUGAAAGCCUUCGGCUCAACCGAAGAAGUGCAUCGGAAACUGGGAAACUUGAGUGCAGAAGAGGACAGUGGAACUCCGUGUGUAGCGGUGAAAUGCGUAGAUAUAUGGAAGAACACCAGUGGCGAAGGCGGCUGUCUGGUCUGUAACUGACGCUGAUGCUCGAAAGUAUGGGUAGCAAACAGGAUUAGAUACCCUGGUAGUCCAUACCGUAACGAUGAAUGCUAAGUGUUGGAGGGUUUCCGCCCUUCAGUGCUGCAGCUAACGCAUUAAGCAUUCCGCCUGGGGAGUACGGCGCAGGCUGAAACUCAGAGGAAUUGACGGGGGUCCCGCACAAGCGGUGCAGCAUGUGUUUAUUCGAAGCUACGCGAAGAUCUACAGGUCUGACAUACUAUGCAAAUCUAGAAAUAACGUUCUUUCGUGACAUGCAUACAGUGUGCAUGGUGUCGUCAGUCAGUUCCUGAUGUCGAUUAGUUCAAGACGAGGCACCUACUAUCAGUGCCAGCAUAGUGGCAUCUGUGAGACUGCCGUGA